rnacentral:lncRNA from 1 species
CCACACUGCCUUUCAAUUUGGGGGCAGACAUGUGACAAAGUUUUCUCAAAUGCAACAUGAAUGGAAAAAAUAUGUGCCAUUCUCUGACCUAGGGAAUGGUAGACCACAGAUGGAAAGAGCAGGAGCUCUGAAUGAAAGCAGGGGAGGAGAGGACCUCACUGACCUGUGUAUCUACCCAGGAAUGUCAUGCACUGCUGAUGUCAUCUAGUGGGGUCACUUUCCUGGGCCCUGUACUCCAGCCUGAGGCAAAAAGAAAAACCCAAAGAGUAAAUUUCCUCAGGGGCAGUUUUGUCCACUGA